rnacentral:rRNA from 1 species
GUGGGGAAUUUUGCGCAAUGGGGGCAACCCUGACGCAGCAACGCCGCGUGCGGGACGACGGCCUUCGGGUUGUAAACCGCUUUCAGCAGGGAAGAAAUUCGACGGUACCUGCAGAAGAAGCUCCGGCUAACUACGUGCCAGCAGCCGCGGUAAUACGUAGGGAGCGAGCGUUAUCCGGAUUCAUUGGGCGUAAAGAGCGCGUAGGCGGCCUCUCAAGCGGGAUCUCUAAUCCGAGGGCUCAACCCCCGGCCGGAUCCCGAACUGGGAGGCUCGAGUUCGGUAGAGGCAGGCGGAAUUCCCGGUGUAGCGGUGGAAUGCGCAGAUAUCGGGAAGAACACCGAUGGCGAAGGCAGCCUGCUGGGCCGCAACUGACGCUGAGGCGCGAAAGCUAGGGGAGCGAACAGGA